rnacentral:lncRNA from 1 species
AUAGCUGUUCCCAGCAGUUAGAGGAAAUGGCAGCCCUGGGACCUGGGGGGAUCCAAGGGCAGUCCAGGUCUCAAUGGGAAGAUGGCAGCAGCUCAGUGGCUCUUCACAGUGAAAUGACAACCUGUUGUUAAAUGUUUAACAGAAGCCAAACUUGGCUUUUAGGGGACAGCUCUCCUGCCAGCCAGCCAACUUGCCAAAGGAAUCUUUCCUGUGCACAGAGAGCACACUGGGCUUGGAGACAUUCUCUGCACAGUGGGAUUUGGUGAGAAUCUUAAGAGUUUCUGUUCAAGGUCAGUUUGUCUCUCUCAGACCGUGGCACCAAGGAACCUGCUGCUACCCUACUUGAUGGGGCUAAACAGGAGAUAUAUUCCAUGCUUCACAAUUGCCACCUUUCGGGAGCAGCUUCACCAGUUACCUCCAACUCCCGCCAGACCCAAUUCAGAGCUGCCAUCAGCUCAGACCUUUGCCUGCUCUUGGCAACACGUCCCCCUGUCCUGCUCCUCUGCAACCUGCCCCUCUUUUUCUUCAUGUGCUGUGAAGGCAUCAUGUGGAUGGGUGUUCAAUUUCUGGACUGGGGAUGCACAGAGCCUGAGGGACACACUUUGCAAACCUGCACCUUGCACUUUUGGGUUCUGGCCUGCAAGGUCUCCUUUAUUCUUUUGGACCAAGGCUGUCCGUGGGAGAGGGCAGCCACCGGCCUGUCAGAGCAAAUCAUCCUCAGGCGGUUUCUGCAGCUCUGGUAUUUGAGCUUUGUUUUCCCUCUCUCCCGGGAAGAACUCAUUGAAAUAGUUUCUCUGGGAAAGACAAAGCAUCUCGUCCAGAUGCUGAAGGAUCACUUGGUAGCUGCCUGUCUUGGUUUCCCGUUGUGCCCAUGAAGGCGCCAUCAGCUCUAAAGCUGACCUGUGGUUCCGUCUCCAAACAGCUAACCCAGACGUCACCCCCUUGCAGCCAGCCGCACAGCCUGAGUUGGAGUUCUGGCCUCUCCUAGCACUGAGUGACAGUGUUGGAGGGGCCUUGGACACCUUGGGUAAUUGCUAACUAAAUAUGAGCAGUAGGGGAAGGUCUUCUGGUCCACGGCAGAGCCAACGGGGCACUUCCUCUUCUCUUUUCUAGUCAGCGUAGAAAGCUAGAAAGAAUCCUAAAAAUCACUAUCCAAGUCCCCAUUGUGUGGGGACAGAGGCCUGGCCUGAAGCCUAGGCUGGAGCGUUCAGUCGGAAGCAGAAGCGGGCAGACUGCAUGAGAGGGUUCCUUCCAGCUUCACCAAGCCCGUGCUGCACGGGAUGAAGAAAAUCAAGCCUGUCUUCCAGUGGGGCUCUGAGGUGGGGGGGCUGGAGGAGAGGGUGGCAGCUCUUUUAUCAGCUGUCCCCAAAAGAGGCCCUUCUCCCAGUCACCACGGACCAAAGCUCCUCCUGGGGGCUCCAGCCUGUCUGUUCAAUGUUUGCCUUGCGCCUUUUCCUGGUGAGGCCACCCCCAGCACCAUCUCAGGCCUCAGAAGGACCACCUCACUGAAACAGCCCUUAAGCUGGGAAAGCAGCAAGCCCUCCGCACCCCGUCCAAGUCUCUCAUCUGGGCACGAGCACACACAGACGCCCAGGCCCUGUCCCUGCGCCAGAAUGGCCGCUAGCGUCUCCAGGCACGAUGCCCCUUUCCAUGAGUGCACAGAGCCCUGGGCUGAGCUGGGGGCCGAGCUCCACGCUCUCUGAGCGGCUCUGAGCUGCACGCCAAAGAAGGUCUUUCAGAUGGGCUCUGGGAUGUGGAACAUGGCGUCCAGCCCUAGCGUCGACUCCACACUAGAGGCACCCUGACUUCCGCCCCCUUCUUACCUGAGUAUCAGCUUACUUCCAUCUGGGGACUGAAUAUGGGGCAGAUUCCAGAAAAAGGAGGUUGGGGCACCAAAACCGACACCAACUCUGCCAACGGAGCCAGCACAGCUAUUUGUCUUCAACCACAGGCAGCAAGGGAAGUUCACAGGCUCGGCACCCCCAGGCCCCGGAUGUAAGGAUAUUGCCCGUUAGACAAAGGAAAGGCCCCAAGUCCACGAUUCAUGUUUGUGAGCUUAACCUUGUCCUAUAAAGCACUUUGAAACAGGCCCAGGUUCUCCCACCAUGUACAGCUAGGGUUCACUGGCUCUGGAGGUCAAAGUUGCUGUGGGUAACAGGCAACCAAGACUAAGGGCAAACUUGAAACAUAAAUGAGUUAAAACCCACAAAAAUAAGACAGUUUUAAACAACUAAA